CCGGAGGAAGGUGGGGAUGACGUCAAGUCCUCAUGGCCUUUAUGACUAGGGCUGCACACGUCCUACAAUGGCGCGCACAAAGCGAUGCAAACUCGCGAGAGCCAGCAAAUCGCAAAAAUCGCGCCCCAGUUCGGAUUGCAGGCUGAAACCCGCCUGCAUGAAGCCGGAAUCGCUAGUAAUCGCGGGUCAGCAUACCGCGGUGAAUGUGUUCCUGAGCCUUGUACACACCGCCCGUCAAGCCACGAAAAUGGGGGGCGCCCAAUAGCACUGUCGGAACCCGCAAGGGACCAAGGUGCCUAAGGCGAACUCCG
rnacentral:rRNA from 1 species